rnacentral:lncRNA from 1 species
ACACACGCACCAGCACCCAAAAUACACACUCCCAUCUCACACACACCACAUCAGACGCACCCUCUCUCUCCAUCGCCUUCUGCCGCCGCUAGAUGGCGGCGCCGCCCGGCGUCCCCCUAUCUCCCCCAGUCGGAGCAUCGCCUUGCCGUCGCGGCACAACAGUAGCGUCGCUCAGCCAUCUUCUUUCUCGAUCGACGAACGGACGGCGCCAAUAGGCAACCGCCACCGCGAUUCAUCACCACAAUCACCGAUUCUCCCUAAACCGCCUCUUCCUCCCCUCUGAAUUUCGGCCAGCAGCUCGAAAUACCGCCGCCGCCGCCGACUCUAUCUCACCUCCCCUCCUUCUCUCCUUCUACCCGCGAUGACAGCCACGCUGGCGACAACAGCAGUAACCGUGCCGCCGCAGUGACCACAGCAGCACCGCUGCCUUCGCUCCCUCCCUGCCCUGACUCGCCACGACUCGACUCCCACAUCAACAACACAUAGCGAAAGGUUAAAGAAAAUACAUGUAAGGCUCAAUUAAUCCAUAGGCAUUCUGUAAAUAUGUUUUUCUUUUUCAUAUACAGUUUCUGUAACAGUCACAUAUACAUCAAAUAUACAAGAUACGAAUCAUCUUUUAGAUGUAUAGGAAUGUCCUGUUUGAUUGUAAACAAAGAAUGAUUAUGUUUUUAUGUUGUGGUGUAUGACAUGAGUGUUUGUUGAGAAGAAGUGUACUGGGGCGAACCUUGAUGAAGAGUUGUAUUCUGUUAUGAGGUAAAUCUGCAAUGGAAAGUUGUAUUGUAAUUAAAAAUUGUAGUGUAAGCUGGACUGGAGCAAUUUGGUUAUGGUUUUGCAGGGUUGCGUUUGAGCUGUUCUUAAAGAAGGUGCCUGCUAUUCUCAGCUGCGAUUGUGAGCUAAGGAAAAUUGGGGUUGGAUGAGGAGCUUUGAGCAGGUCUGGGGAGGAUUGUAUUGGAGAAAAGUGGAGAUGUGGAAGAACCCCUUCCACCGCUAAAUAUUUGUUUAAUAUCAUAAGCUACUGUAUCAACUUCACCUGCUUAAGUAUAACAAAUAAAAUGUAUAGAUCGAUUUUUUUUUUAAAUAAAAUUUACCUGAUUUGCAAGGUAAUUGGGCUUUUGGAAACAUUUCAAGAAUUCUUGCCCAAUAAAU